rnacentral:rRNA from 1 species
CCUACGGGGGGCAGCAGUGGGGAAUAUUGGGCAAUGGGCGCAAGCCUGACCCAGCAACGCCGCGUGAAGGAAGAAGGCUUUCGGGUUGUAAACUUCUUUUGUCAGGGACGAAGCAAGUGACGGUACCUGACGAAUAAGCCACGGCUACUACGUGCCAGCAGCCGCGGUAAUACGUAGGUGGCAAGCGUUAUCCGGCAUUAUUGGGUGUAAAGGGCGUGGAGGCGGGAAGGCAAGUCAAAUGUGAAAACUAUGGGCUCAACGCAGAGACUGCAUUUGAAACUGUAUUUCUUGAGUGCUGGAGAGGCAAUCGGAAUUCCAGGUGUAGCGGUGAAAUGCGUAGAUAUACGGAGGAACACCAGUGGCGAAGGCGAAUUGCUGGACAGUAACUGACGCUGAGGAGCGAAAGCGUGGGGAGCAAACAGGAUUAGAUACCCGAGUAGUC